rnacentral:rRNA from 1 species
UACGUAGGGCGCAAGCGUUGUUCCGGAAUUAUUGGGCGUAAAGGCGCUCGAGAGCGGCUUGUCGCGUCGAUCGUGAAAACUUGGGGCUUAACCCUGAGCUUGCGGUCGAUACGGGCAUGACUGGAGUUCGGCAGGGGAGACUGGAAUUCCUGGUGUAGCGGUGAAAUGCGCAGAUAUCAGGAGGAACACCAACAGCGAAGGCAGCACUCUGGGCCGGUACUGACGCUGAGGAGCGAAAGCAUGGGGAGCGAACAGG